rnacentral:rRNA from 1 species
GACGAACGCUGGCGGCGUGCCUAAUACAUGCAAGUAGAACGCACAGUUUAUACCGUAGCUUGCUACACCAUAGACUGUGAGUUGCGAACGGGUGAGUAACGCGUAGGUAACCUGCCUGGUAGCGGGGGAUAACUAUUGGAAACGAUAGCUAAUACCGCAUAAUAUUAAUUAUUGCAUGAUAAUUAAUUGAAAGGUGCAAUUGCACCACUACCAGAUGGACCUGCGUUGUAUUAGCUAGUAGGUGAGGUAACGGCUCACCUAGGCGACGAUACAUAGCCGACCUGAGAGGGUGAUCGGCCACACUGGGACUGAGACACGGCCCAGACUCCUACGGGAGGCAGCAGUAGGGAAUCUUCGGCAAUGGACGAGAGUCUGACCGAGCAACGCCGCGUGAGUGAAGAAGGUUUUCGGAUCGUAGAGCUCUGUUGUAAGAGAAGAACGGGUGUGAGAGUGGAAAGUUCACACUGUGACGGUAUCUUACCAGAAAGGGACGGCUAACUACGUG